UUGGACAGCGUCACUCCACUUCCCAACCGCACCGGCUCGUGCUCCACUGACGCGCGCCAUUAAUGAAAGCGAUAGCAGAGCGAUGAGCGCAGCAGCCAUGCCGCUUCUAGAUUCCAAGAAAGAAAACCAGCUGCGUGCGGCUCACUGGCUCCCUAGCUAAGGUAGCCAUGGCCAGCUUGCUGCCGCCGGUACACAGUACAAUACCAGUGGCGUACGUACAGCCCUACUGCUCGCCGAGCUCUCACGAGCCCGCAUUAAAGGACACACCAGAGCUCGCAUUCAUGGCUCCUUUCAGAUGGUAGAUGGCUCGCAUUUACGCCCCCCACAGUAGUCUCGCCUCGUCUCCC
rnacentral:lncRNA from 1 species